rnacentral:rRNA from 1 species
UACGAAGGGGGCUAGCGUUGUUCGGAAUUACUGGGCGUAAAGCGCGCGCAGGCGGCUAUCCAAGUCAGUGGUGAAAGCCCGGGGCUCAACUCCGGAAUUGCCUUUAAGACUGCAUCGCUAGAAUUGUGGAGAGGUAAGUGGAAUUCCGAGUGUAGAGGUGAAAUUCGUAGAUAUUCGGAAGAACACCAGUGGCGAAGGCGACUUACUGGACACAUAUUGACGCUGAGGUGCGAAAGCGUGGGGAGCAAACAGG